rnacentral:rRNA from 1 species
GUGGAUUAGAUACCCUGGUAGUCCUGGCCCUAAACGGUGCACGUUUGCUGUAAGCGGAAUCGACCCCGCUUGUGGCGUAGUUAACACGAUAAACGUGCCGCCUGGGAAGUACGGCCGCAAGGUUAAAACUCAAAGAAAUUGACGGGGGCCUGCACAAGCGGUGGAGUAUGUGGCUUAAUUCGAUGCAACGCGAAGAACCUUACCUGGCCUUGACAUGCAAGUAGUAGAAGCCUGAAAGGGUGACGAAUCCGCAAGGAUAGCUUGCACAGGUGCUGCAUGGCCGUCGACAACU